GGGCGCUUGGCACAGUGGUAGCGCGCCUGCUUUGCACAUUAGUUGUGACUUGCAUGAGGUCGAGGGUUCAAACCCCUCAGCGUCCA